AUAUUCUGGUUUCUCUUCAUAUCAUAUAAAUCUUUUGCCUUUUACUAAAGAUUUCCGUGGAGAGUUCUUAUGCUUGUUUCCUCUCAUCUGGUAUCUUUUCUUUCAGCUCAACACAUAGA